rnacentral:rRNA from 1 species
UACGUAGGGGGCAAGCGUUGUCCGGAAUCAUUGGGCGUAAAGCGCGCGUAGGCGGGUCUCUAAGUCUGGUGUGAAAGGUUCAGGGCUCAACCCGAAGAGUGCACUGGAUACUGGAGACCUUGAGUUGGGCAGAGGAGAGUGGAAUUCCUGGUGUAGCGGUGAAAUGCGUAGAUAUCAGGAGGAACACCGAUGGCGAAGGCAGCUCUCUGGGCCCAAACUGACGCUCAGGUGCGAAAGCGUGGGGAGCGAACGGG